rnacentral:rRNA from 1 species
AACGAACGCUGGCGGCAGGCCUAACACAUGCAAGUCGAGCGAGGACUUCGGUUCUAGCGGCGGACGGGUGAGUAACGCGUGGGAAUGUGCCCUUCUCUACGGAAUAGCCCUGGGAAACUGGGAGUAAUACCGUAUACGCUCUUUUGGGGAAAGAUUUAUCGGAGAAGGAUCAGCCCGCGUUGGAUUAGGUAGUUGGUGGGGUAAUGGCCUACCAAGCCGACGAUCCAUAGCUGGUUUGAGAGGAUGAUCAGCCACACUGGGACUGAGACACGGCCCAGACUCCUACGGGAGGCAGCAGUGGGGAAUCUUAGACAAUGGAGGCAACCCUGAUCAAGCCAUGCCGCGUAAGUGAUGAAGGCCUUAGGGUUGUAAAGCUCUUUCAGCUGGGAAGAUAAUGACGGUACCAGCAGAAGAAGCCCCGGCUAACUCCGUG